GAUGAACGCUGGCGGCGUGCCUAAUACAUGCAAGUCGAGCGAACAGACGAGGAGCUUGCUCCUUCGACGUUAGCGGCGGACGGGUGAGUAACACGUAGGUAACCUACCUCUAAGACUGGGAUAACUUCGGGAAACCGGAGCUAAUACCGGAUAAUAUUUCGAACCGCAUGGUUCGAUAGUUAAAGAUGGCUUUGCUAUCACUUAUAGAUGGACCUGCGCCGUAUUAGCUAGUUGGUAAGGUAACGGCUUACCAAGGCAACGAUACGUAGCCGACCUGAGAGGGUGAUCGGCCACACUGGAACUGAGACACGGUCCAGACUCCUACGGGAGGCAGCAGUAGGGAAUCUUCCGCAAUGGGCGAAAGCCUGACGGAGCAACGCCGCGUGAGUGAUGAAGGUCUUCGGAUCGUAAAACUCUGUUAUUAGGGAAGAACAAACGUGUAAGUAACUGUGCACGUCUUGACGGUACCUAAUCAGAAAGCCACGGCUAACUACGUG
rnacentral:rRNA from 1 species